CUUACAGAUACUUUCUUCUCAAUACUCCUGCAUGUCCAUUCCAAAACCGUUUUGCCUUCAAAUAGAUGGAUCUGGAUGCUCAACAAUGCAGAAAACUGACCUGGAGGUCUCUUUGGCAGAUGUCUUAUGCCUCAGAUAUCCCCAACAUCCUGGGAAUAUGUGGAAGAUCUAUUCCUAUCCUUUUGAAAUAGAUUCACAUUGAUUCCUAUAGUGGCUCCAACAGUUUACACUCCCACCAACAAUGAAGAAGUGUUCUUAUUUCCCCAAAUCCACACCAGUGUUUUUUUUUGUGAUUAGUAUUUUUCACCUUGGCCAUUCUGUCUGUCUUACAAUGAAAUCUGAAGACUUUUACUUUGUGUUUUCCUGAUGGUUAUGGAUAUUAAACAUUAUUUAAAAUGUA